AGAGUUUGAUCCUGGCUCAGGAUGAACGCUAGCGGCAGGCCUAACACAUGCAAGUCGAGGGGUAACAGGAAGUGCUUGCACUUCGCUGACGACCGGCGCACGGGUGAGUACCGCGUAUACAAUCUGCCUCAUACUAGGGGAUAGCCCGAAGAAAUUUGGAUUAAUACCCUAUAGUAUCUUUUUAAGGCAUCUUAUUAAGAUUAAAGGUUACGGUAUGAGAUGAGUAUGCGUUCUAUUAGCUAGUAGGUGUGGUAACGGCACACCUAGGCUACGAUAGAUAGGGGCCCUGAGAGGGGGAUCCCCCACACUGGUACUGAGACACGGACCAGACUCCUACGGGAGGCAGCAGUGAGGAAUAUUGGACAAUGGGCGAAAGCCUGAUCCAGCCAUGCCGCGUGCAGGAUGACUGCCCUAUGGGUUGUAAACUGCUUUUAUAUAGGAAGAAAAACUUUCUCGUGAGAAAGCUUGACGGUACUAUAAGAAUAAGGAUCGGCUAACUCCGUGCCAGCAGCCGCGGUAAUACGGAGGAUCCAAGCGUUAUCCGGAAUCAUUGGGUUUAAAGGGUCCGUAGGUGGACAAAUAAGUCAGAGGUGAAAUCCUGCAGCUCAACUGUAGAACUGCCUUUGAUACUGUUUGUCUUGAGUUAUUAUGAAGUGGUUAGAAUGUGUAGUGUAGCGGUGAAAUGCAUAGAUAUUACACAGAAUACCGAUUGCGAAGGCAGAUCACUAAUAAUUAACUGACACUGAGGGACGAAAGCGUGGGUAGCGAACAGGAUUAGAUACCCUGGUAGUCCACGCCGUAAACGAUGGUCACUAGCUGUUUGGACUUCGGUCUGAGUGGCUAAGCGAAAGUGAUAAGUGACCCACCUGGGGAGUACGUUCGCAAGAAUGAAACUCAAAGGAAUUGACGGGGGCCCGCACAA
rnacentral:rRNA from 1 species